rnacentral:rRNA from 1 species
GAUGAACGCUGGCGGCGUGCCUAAUACAUGCAAGUCGAGCGAACAGAUGAGGAGCUUGCUCCUCUGACGUUGGCGACGGACGGGUUAGUACCACGUGGAUAACCUACUUAUAAGACUGGGAUAACUUCGGACAACCGGAGCUACUACCGGAUAAUUCAUUCAACCGCAUGGUUCAUUAGUGAAAGCCGGUUUUGCUGUCACUUUUAGAUGUAUCCGGGCGGCGUUAGCUGGUUGGUAAGGUAACGGCUUACCAAGGCAACGAUGCGUAGCCGACGUGAGAGACGGAUCGGCCACACGGGAACUGGACCGCGGUCCAGAGUCCUACGGGAGGCAGCAGUAGGGAAUCUUCCGCAGUGGGCGAAAGCUUGACGGAGCAACGCCGCGUGAGUGAUGAAGGUCUUCGGAUCGUAAAACUCUGUUAUUAGGGAAGAACAAAUGUGUAAGUAACUAUGCACGUCUUGACGGUACCGAAUCAGAAAGCCACGGCUAACUACGUG